CUUCUGGAUGAUUUUUUCUCAAAUUUUUCUAUCAAUGAAACUUCUGGAUGAUUUUUUCUCUUCUUUCUCUCAUUUCAUCUCAAAGCCCUAGUUACAUUUUACUCAAUAUAGGUUCAAAUUCAUCAUUUUAACAUGGUAUUAAAGCGAAGCUUCUGCUUCUCCGUGUGUUUCUCUACCUAGGGAUCUUACGAUGCGAUUUCGUUAGGUUUAAGUUUUUUAUUUUGGGAUUUGUUUCGUGAUUUUUUUCAAAGUGUGAUUGUUCGAUGAAGAUUUGUGUUCCAUGGUGAGGCUUGUACUGCAAAUUUGCAGUGUUUCUUCUUCGUUUGUGCUAAGAGCAUCGAUUAUUGGUGAUUUUCGAGAUUUUCGAGUACUAUCAAGUUGUAUUUCGAUUUUGCGGUUGUUGAACAAUGGGUAAAUCUGUUCCUUGUUCAUAUGUGCGUAGUUUCUUGUUAAUUGUGGAUUUACUUCUGGUUUGAUAAAACGUUUUCAUUUGCCUAGUUAUUUUCAUGAAGUUUUUAUUGUUUAAAUAUGGUUUUCUCGAUUAAAUUCUAUUAAUUAGACUAUCAUGGUGAACAAUAACUCUUCGACUGAUGGAACACCUGCGAACACUAGUGUAGCUGGAACCUCGACUACAACUACCCAAGAUUACUUUAACCCUCUGUAUUUGUCAUCAUCUGAUGUACCUGGAAUCUUUCUUGUACCUGUACCUUUCUCUAGAACUGGUUUUGGGGGAUGGAAUAGAAACAUGAUAGUGUCUUUAUCAGCUAGAAACAAGAUAGGGCUUAUUGAUGGCUCUUGCCCAUAGCCUGCUGAGGAUUCUCCUCAGUUUAGAGAAUGGGACAUAUGCAACAAUAUGGUCAUAUCUUGGCUCACUAGCUCUUUGAAUCCUGACAUUGCUGAGAGUGUACAGUAUUCAGACACUGCUUAGAGUAUUUGGACUCUACUAUGUACAAGGUAUGGUUCUGUUAGUGGGACAAAAAUUUUUGAACUCAAAAUGGAGUUAGCAUCCACUAGUCAGGGUUCUUUGGACAUUGCCUCAUAUUUCAACAAACUUAAGAAGUUGUGGAUGAGCUCAGGUUCCUAUCAAUACAUAUACUUGUGCUGCCAAAACUGGUCUUCAGAUGAAAGAUGAGGAAAAUAAGGUGUAUCAAUUCUUAAUGAGGCUAAAUGAGACAUACAUUGGGGUUAGGAGAAACUUGCUAAUGAUGCAGCCCUUUCCUUCUCUUGACUCUGCAUAUAACAUCCUACUCCAGGAUGAGAGACGGAGACAAGUGACUUUCACUACCCGAUUGUCACCUAAUUCAGCCUCUUUACAUGCUUCUCUUAACAAAAGACCACCUAUUUCAUAUUCUUACCCUUCCAAGCCCUAUAAUCCAAGAGUUAACUUUGAACAGGAUAAGUCAUCCUUGUUUUACAAGUAUUGCAAGAGGACUGGGCACUUGAUGGAAAAGUGCUACAGGCUUCAUGGAUACCCACCUGAUUUUAAGUUUACCAAUUCCAAGGGUAAGAAAGUAGCUGCUAGUGUUGAGGUGCAGACUUCUAUUCUUGCCCUAUUCAACCUUCUGUUUAGUCAGCUCAUUCUAGUGCUGAUAACCUAGCUUUGUUUCUUGCUGGUUUAAACAAAGAACAAUGUGAUCAGGUUGUGCAACUAAUGCUGGGGCAUCACAUUUAUCCAGAAUCUCAUGCCAGCCUCAUGGCUUCUGCUAACUUUGCUGGCCCUUUCAAUGAAGAGGCCUAUGGAGAUUGGUACUGGACAAUGGUCUCUAUAAGCUUGUGCAAACAUCUGCUAAAUCUAGUGAUGGUGUUCAUCUUUCCCCUAUUUCCUCUAGUGAUGUUCUUUCUACUUUUUAAUGUAAUUUCUCUCCAGUUUGUCCUAGAGGAAACAGUAAUCCCCCUCAUCUUGAUAAUUUCAUGUUUGACCUACCUCCUUCCCUAAGUGGCUCUAGGUCUACUUCUUUAUGUCCUACUUCCUUAGAUAAUGCUACUACAUCUGAACCACACUCAUAUCAACAAGCAGCUUCUAUUCCUGCUUGGCAGCAGGCUAUGAGGGCUGAGUUUGAGGCCUUACAGGCCAAUAACACUUGGUCUAGUACUCCUUCGCAUGCUGGGAAGAAGUUUAUUAGUUGUAAGUGGGUUUAUAAAAUCAAGUACAAGGUUGAUGGGUCUGUUGAAAGAUAUAAGGCUAGAUUAGUGGUUAGGGGAGACACUCAACUCGAAGGGGUGGAUUUUAAUGAAACCUUCUCAAAUGUUAUUAAGUUUUCCACUAUAAAAUGCCUUGUUGCUUGGAAAAAAGGCUAGCCCCUCUUUCAAGUUGAUGUAAAAAAUGCCUUUUUGCAUGGUGACUUGGAGGAGGAGGUCUAUAUGAAGCUUUCUCCUAGUUUGUCCACUGAUUAUCCUACUGGUUAUUCUUCCCCUUUGGUGUGUCAUCUUCAGAAAUCAUUGUAUGGCCCGAGACAAGCUUCUAGACAGUGGUAUGCCAAGCUGUCUCAAGCACUUCACUCUACGGUAUACUCUCAUUCCUCUAAUAACCAUUCUUUGUUCAUUAAACACUCUUCUUCACACAGAUCAGUUAAUGGUUUUUGCGUUCUCUUGGGUGGAUCUCUUAUUUCUUGGAAAGCCAAGAAGCAACGUGUUGUUUCUCUCUCUUCAGCUGAGGCUGAGUAUAGAUUUUCGAGUAAAGUGGUUGCUGAAUUGGAUAAAGUGGUUGCUGAAUUGGUUUGGUUGUUGAGAGUUUGAUAUUGGUGUUUCAAUUUCUGCCCCUGUUCCAGUUUUUGUGACAACAAGCAGCUAUACACAUUGCCAAGAAUCCGGUAUUCCAUGAGAUGACUCAACAUAUCGAGGUGGAUUGCUAUUUCAUUUGCACAAAGCUUGUUGAUGGCCUAGUUGAGCUGUUUCAUGUUCCCACUUGCUCACAGUUAGUUGAUGUUUUUACCAAAGCUUUGACCGGUCUUGUUCGUCAUACAAUCUUGCUCAAGUUGGUUGUUCAAGCCCCCCUCCAACCUGCGGGGUGGGGUGGGGUUGUUGUAGUUUAUAAUACACGUGGAACUAAGAGUACACAAUCAGAUGUAGUGAUCCCACCUGAAGCCUUUGUAUGUCUUGUAUUUAUAUUCAGUAUAUAUUUAUGUAUAGUGCUGUGCAACGUAGUAGGAGUGAUAGGUGAGCCCAAUGUAUGUAUGAGCUCAUUCUUUCUAUAUUUCUUUCCGAGUCUGGCCUAUUGUAUAUAAGGACAUUAGAUCCUUCUAGAUGAACUAAUGAAUUUUUUUCUCAGAUUUUACUAUUAACGAAACUUUCUCUAA